rnacentral:lncRNA from 1 species
GAAAAAGAGAGGGGAGGCCGAGAAUGAGGGAGUAAAUACAAAGGGGGUGUGUUACCAAGCUGGCCACAGCUUUUGACAAAUGCAGCCAAUUGUUUAGUCUUGUUGGAUGUUUCCAGAAACGUCUAUUGGGGCUUGGACCAAUAAAUGUGGAAGGAGGAAGAGAGAAGAAUUUGUCUGCCUGGUCAUAUCUCCCAUUGGUCAAAGUGGGCUGCACAGAGCAUCAGGACCCCCACGCUUCCAAGUGGCUCUGUCUGGCGUCGCCCACAAAGGAAAGCCAGAUCCCCAAACAGCAGCAGAAGCAUCUGCAGCCUGAACCAGGGCACAUGGAGCCAGCGCAGCAACAGGGGAGCCCUGGGGCAGGAGGUGAGAGGCAUAUGGUGUGAGGCAUGAAGCAACAUGCUGUCGAGUUGUGCCUGCAAGCCACGUGAGGAACCGGGAACAUCUGCCACGAUGGACCCAGCCCAGCCAAGCAGGUUCAUCAUAACCCAGCAAGACUACGAAGAGCAGCUCCUCCCCACCUGGCGGCAUCCUGAACUGAAACCAGCCAGGCGCUUCCCCAGACCGGUGAGAACUGACCCCACCCAGGUUCCGCAGGCAGCCCAGCCUCAUGCUUCAUCGUGUGCAUCUUCCUCGUGCUCCAAGAAGGAGCCUGGCUCCGCUGUGUGUCUCAGCACCGUGAGACAAGGCCUUGGCCUUGAUGCUCUCACAACAGAAGCAUCCGCUCAUCCCCCAGACACGUCAUGGGGUGUGUCCAGCCCCAGGAGAGGAUUCUGCACUUGCUGGGUUUUCCUGCCAGAGGCGUGGUGGGAAUCGGUAAGGGGCUUGCUCACCUGCCAGGAGGAAGUGGCUGUGGCCUCUCCUUCCUGCCUUCCUCCGGCCACAGCUUUAGAUGACACAUUACAGCAGUGCUGCCUGCUGAGUUGUUUGGAGGGCAGCAUGGGCAGUGGGGAAAAAAGGGGGCUUGGAGUCCUGGGUUCAAAUCCCAGCUCCCCCAGUUACUGUGUGACCUUGGCAAGUGACAGCCUCUCGGGGCGUCUGUUGUCAUAUCUGUAGGAUGAGGAUAUGACACAGACCUGACUGGGUUAUAGUGAAAGUUCGGCUUUUCCCAUCCCCCUCUGACCCCAUUCCUACGGGCAGAGCAGCUUGCUUGUGUCUCCUAUACGAGGAUCAGCACUUGACAGCUGCCUCCAUCAAAUAUUCAACACCAGCAAGCCCCAGCACACGCUUCCUCUGCGCGCUGCCAUCCAGCAAAGUGCUCAUCCUUCCAGGGCUCAGUGGGGACCAUGGCACUUGGCAGUCUCCUUUCUUUUUGUUGUUUGCCGCAGCUGGUGGUGGAGGGCGGGGGCUGCUGUGCUGGACGCGAGACAGGGCUGGGUCAGAGCACACCAUCUCCAUCAUCAGCCGCCACCCUCGCCUUCCCGGCGAGCCACGGCUCUAUCCUUAGAGCCCGUAGGGAGCCCUGGAGCAGGGCCAUGGGAGGCAGCCCCUUGCACUGGAGGCCGGCCUGGUUUUCCAGGGGCCACUGUGCAGCCUUAAAAGGGCUGUCUCUGAGCAGACCCUCCUCCACUGCCCCUCUGAAUGAUACCUUAGUUAAAAUUCCCCCGGUGCUCUGAUUUCCAUUUACCCUCUUCUCCUCCCCCUUCCUUGGCAUUUCUUCAAAUCUUUUUCCUUUAAAUUUUUAAUUGAAGAAUAAUAUCUCUCACCUUUUUUUUCCCCAACAAGGAACAAGUUCAUGGCUGAGUAUUAAAAGGGUAUCCUGAGAGCACAGAAAAUGAAGACAGCUCUGUCACCAGCUUGUGGGUGACCCUGAGGAACAUGUGCAGGCUUCCGGUGUGGCUCCCUUAUUUAUUCCGGGAGAUGGCAGGUGGCAUGUUCCCAGCAGACAGGUGCUGGUGUCAGGAGCCCAGCACCUGUGUGCAUUAGACAGCAACGUUGGGUGGGGAAGAAGAGAGGUGGGUGGCAAGCCGAGGGACGCAGCCUUCCCUGCAUGCACAGGGGCGAGCUGAGCCCUGUGAAGGACUGGCCUGAGCGGGGACAUGUUCACAGAGGGAGCAAUUCUUGGUGAGGAGAGACAGUGAGGUCAUCCUCCUCCCAGGUGUGUCUUGGGAGAAGCGUGUCAGGGGGGAGUCGCAUGAUGAGGCCGCGGUUGAGUCAAUCUGCCUCGGAGAAGAGCUGGCAGCUGGGAGUAGGAGGGGAUGAGAGGUGAGGUGGCCGGAAGGGUCCUGAUAUGCAGGGAGGAGCUUUAUGGCCUAGUCUGGGCUGCCUAGAAUCCUCUGGUCACCUCUGCCCUUGUGCUAGCACGGCUGGCCACCUGGGCCAUUCCCUCACCUCAGCUCACUCAGCCUGCCCCACCCCUGGGCUGGAGGACACGCCUCAUUACAUAGUUUUCAGAUGGGUAAACUGAGGCAGGAGCCACUGCAGGCCCCGAGAGGAGGGGAAGAGAGCCAGGGAGCGACAACGCCCUGGUGAGGGUGAGGCACUCACAUCCGCCGCCCAGCCCUCCUUAGCCCUGUCAUGAGCAGUGUGCUCAGCUCCUGCCUCCCUCCUUCUCUGACCCUGACCCUUCCUGUUUCCCUGAGAGCCCUUGGCCCUCCCCGCCACCUCGCCCCCGGCCUGCACUGCCCGCGCUGCGACCACGUGCGGCGGCGCCUUGGUCCAGGGUCUUCCCUCUUCUCUGCUGCUCCUCGGUGGCUGCCCGCCGCAGGCGCGGGAGGAGGCAGGCGGCCGGUUCACCCGGAGGCCAGGGACUCCAGGCCACAGGGCACAGCCGAGCAUCCCCGCUGGGCAAGCCUCAGGAGCGGCUGGCGGCAGCAGGGGGCUGAAGGCCUGGUGGGGACAGGCAGCCCAGGCAGGAUGGAGCAGGCCCCAACUCCCAGCGAUGCCAAGGGCUCAGGGGCUUAGCGCUCGCUCUUGGGCUCGUGAACGGAAGCGGUGCUGCUCAUCCCCCAUCCUGCUAUCCCCAUCCCCCAUCCCCCAUCUCCCAUCUCCCAUCUCCCCAUCCGCCAUCCAAGUUCUUUGUCCUGUUUCAUUAGUUGAAUCAUGAGGCUUGACAGUACCGUAAAACUUGAAAUGUUCAAUUCUGCUUUUAAAAUGGAAAACUAAACAAAAACCAUUGUCCAGUGAGCUCCCAACCUAUCAGAGAGCAGAGCACUCGGUGGAGCCAGGGGCCUGGGCCACCAGCAGGCUGAGUGACCGUGGGCAGGUCACCUCAUCUCCCACCCCCUUGGGGUCCCUGGUUGUAAAUUGUUAGGAGUGGAUAUUUCUCCAAAGUUUCUCUGGUUUUCAGUAUUAUAAUGCUGAGUCUCAGAAACAUUGUUAGCAAGUAAUACAGUCAUAAAGCAAGUUACCACAAUAAUAACAAUAAAGUGUAACUACUCUGAUUUUUUAAAAUGCA